GCCGGAGUAACAGAGCGCCGACCUGAUUAAUGAGGCCAGAAUACAGAAAACUAGGAGACAUGAUAUUAAAGUUUUUGUGGAGGCAGGAUGGAGUACACACGCAUCAAAUGGAGAACCAGGUGGAGAUGAAAUUGGCCUUUGUGGAAGCAGGGUCGAGUACACUAACAUCAAACGGAAAACCAGGUGGAGAGAUGAAAUUAGAACCUUUGUGGAUGCAGGAUGGAGUACACUGACAUCAAACGGAAAACCAGGUGGAGAGAUGAAAUUAGAACCUUUGUGGAUGCAGGAUGGAGUACACUGACAUCAAACGGAAAACCAGGUGGAGAGAUGAAAUUAGAACCUUUGUGGAGGCAGGAUGGAGUACACUGACAUCAAACGGAGAACCAGGUGGAGAGAUGAAAUUAGAACCUGGUGCUAGUACUCUAUCCUGCUCCAGUAAAGGUUCUGAUUUAAUCUCUACCUGGUGUUCUGUCUGGUAAAAGUGCUCUAUCCUGCUCUGGUAAAGGUUCCAAUUUCACUCUAUACCUGGUCCUCUGUCUGGUAUUGUACUCUUUCCGGUAAAGGCUCUAAUUUCACUCUACCUGGUUUGCUGUCUAAUAUUAGUGUACUUCGUCCUGCUCCGGUAAAGGUUCUAAUAUCAUCUCCACCUGGUGUCCUGUCUGAUAUUAGUGCUCUAUCCUGCUCCGGUAAAGGUUCUAAUUUCAUCUCUACCUGGUCCUCUGUCAGGUGUUAGUGUUCUUCAUCCUGCUCCGGUAAAGGUUCUAAUUUCAUCUCUACCUGGUCCUCUGUCAGGUGUUAGUGUUCUUCAUCCUGCUCCGGUAAAGGUUCUAAUUUCAUCUCUACCUGGUCCUCUGUCUGGUGCUAGUGUUCUUCAUCCUGCUCCGGUAAAGUUUCUAAUUUCACUCCACCUGGUCCUCUGUCUGGUGCUAGUGUUCUUCAUCCUGCUCAGGCAAAAACUGUAAUUAAUCCCUUCUCUCCACCUGGUCCUCUGUGUCCCUUAACUUUUUUUUACGAUGCCUGGGUCGCCUCCGUUAUUCUGGUUGUGUCUGUUAUCAGUUUGGCGGGUGGUAUUGCACGUCUUUCCCGGUAAUAACUGUCAUCGUAUUUUCCUCUUCUUAGGGUCGCGGCGGAAUGCUAUUAACUCUUAGGCCAGAGUUAAGAAUCAUUGGCGUGACCUGACCGACCGCCUUGCCUGUCAUUGCACGAUCCAGGAAACUUUGGUCGCCUGCUCUUUCAUUCCUCCUUCCUUCUCCCACUCCUCCUCCUCCUCCUCCUCCGUCCAUCAUCUCGUUCUCUACUUCUUUCUUCCUUCUCAUCUUCACCAUUCUAUCUAUCACCUUUAUCUCCUCCUCCUCUUUCCUCCUCCUCCUUCACUACCUCUAUCUCGAUCCUUUCCUUCCUUGAGUUACUUGCGUAAGAGGAGGAGGAAGAGGAGGAGAAGGAGGAGGAGUCUGCUUUGGAGGAGGUAGUGGAGGAGAACUGACUAGCCGUCGUCACGCUCUUACAGUCUUCCUCCUCCUCCUCCUCCUCCUCCUCCUCCUCCUACGACCUCUCUCUACGGCAACAACAACAUCAGCGAUUCUCUGUCAACCAGUGUAUAAUGUAUUGCGUGCAGUCACACACACACACACACACACACACACACACACACAUCAACGAUUUAGUUUUUGCCUCAAGUUAAAUUAUUAGUUUAUAAACGAUGUAAAUUCCCUGAGAAAAAAAUAUAUCCAUGCU